AUGAUAUGCUUCUUCGCAGUCGAGUGGCACUUUGUAGACCGUGUGGCAAGACAAUUUGGGAAAAGACAAGGUAUUCCAAUUGAGGAGAGCAAGGAGGAAAUGCUAUCUCUGCAUCGGUUCGAUCGAAGGAACAAUCAGGAUAUAUCGGAUUGGGCAAACAAACACCGUGCAUGGAUAGAAAUUUGGAAUCAAAGAGACACGCUAGUGCAAUCAGAGAAUAGGCCUCACAAUCAGAUAGCAUAUCAGAAGUAUCAAGUGUGGUAUGCGGAUCGUUACCGGUUGAAGCUGAAGCCAGGUUGGACUCACGACGAGUGGUCGAGUUGGUGUCUGAAGACCCGGAGACUGCAGAAGGUUAUAGUACCUUCAACAUGGCUGUGA
rnacentral:rRNA from 1 species